UUUGGGAGAGCGAUCCUCACCACAGGGAUUUCAGAACGGAAGCGUUUGUCAGACUGAGAAGUGAGGCCUGACAGGGAGGAUCGUGGACCGUUUGCUCAGGGCUCUGCUGAGGGGCGUUGGCUGAGAGCACGGUUUCUCACAAGCUCGCAGAGAAAUGACUGCAGUGGAUGAGUCUAGAUAAAGAAAAUUCUAACGGUCUGCUCUAGCCCGGUCUAUGCAGGUCAGAUGGCAUUGCAGAGAAGACACAGGACGCCUGCAUUUGAAAUGAGGAGAGAAUACUCGCUUCCAAAUGCUGCGUCUGAGCACCGCUGGCAGGCACAUCAGCGAUGGAGACAGAUGCCAGCAGCCAGCCAGACCCCCAUGGCAGGGCUGCAUCUAAAGUGGAUCCAGUGUGCAGGUGCCUGAGCUCCAGGUCCCCGGUGAGCAGCUGCCCGAGCUCCAGCUCAGCUGUGGUCUGAGAUCACUUCAUGUGAUUUAAAUGAAAGAAGAGGGCAUGAAGGCUGAGGCAGACGGAUUACACCACAGAGGGGGCCACUGGCUGCUCCAGAUGAAGGUGAGAACAACGCAAGGUUCCCGCCAAAAUGCCCCGGGAAGAAAUUCCCUUCAGAGCCUGAAUCUGGCAAAAACUCCAACACCGUGUUAAUCGCCAUAGCUGGUUAAUCGCCAUAGCUGGAUUCGAUCAUCUGCCCUGGAAAUACACGGGAGGCAGCUGGCUCGGGCACAGCUUUAAAAGUAGAAGUGGUGCACACUGAUCUUAAGUCCUAACUUCGAGUUACUGUGAGACCUCGCAGAAUCUGUGUGCUUUCCUUCCCCAAAUAUGUAAAUGAUAUUUUAACAUGUAUGUGGAUGAAUUUGGCCUGAGAGCUACCUGGAAGAGAGGCGUAUGUUUUACUUUUAGAUAAUUAUUAAUGUUUUGUCAAAUAAUUCUAUUAACACAAUUUCUAGAUAAAUAUUUUGUAAUAAAGACAAGGGGGGGCCGGCCUGGUGGCAUAGUGUUUAAUUUCGUGUGCUCUGCCUUGGUGGCUCAGGGUUUGCGGUUCAGAUCCCUGGCGCGGACCUGCACACCGCUCAUCAGGCCAUGCUGUGCCGCAUACAAAGUAGAGGAAGACUGGCACAUAUGUUACCUCAAGGACAAUCUUCCUCAAGCAAAAAAAAAAAAAGACAAGGAAUAAAUUUAUAUUUUCUCCUUUGCCUCUCAGAAAUUCUCUUUGCUUUGCCAAAUAAAAUAGAAUAUAAUUUUUAAGCAAAAAA
rnacentral:lncRNA from 1 species